GGUUAAGCGACUAAGCGUACACGGUGGAUGCCCUGGCAGUCAGAGGCGAUGAAGGGCGUGCUAAUCUGCGAUAAGCGCCGGUAAGGUGAUAUGAACCGUUAUAACCGGCGAUACCCGAAUGGGGAAACCCAGUGUGAUUCGUCACACUAUCAUUAACUGAAUCCAUAGGUUAAUGAGGCGAACCGGGGGAACUGAAACAUCUAAGUACCCCGAGGAAAAGAAAUCAACCGAGAUUCCCCCAGUAGCGGCGAGCGAACGGGGAGGAGCCCAGAGCCUGAAUCAGCAUGUGUGUUAGUGGAAGCGUCUGGAAAGGUGCGCGAUACAGGGUGACAGCCCCGUACACAAAAGCGCAUGUGCUGUGAGCUCGAUGAGUAGGGCGGGACACGUGGUAUCCUGUCUGAAUAUGGGGGGACCAUCCUCCAAGGCUAAAUACUCCUGACUGACCGAUAGUGAACCAGUACCGUGAGGGAAAGGCGAAAAGAACCCCGGCGAGGGGAGUGAAAAAGAACCUGAAACCGUGUACGUACAAGCAGUGGGAGCACAGGUUUAUCUGUGUGACUGCGUACCUUUUGUAUAAUGGGUCAGCGACUUAUAUUCUGUAGCAAGGUUAACCGUAUAGGGGAGCCGUAGGGAAACCGAGUCUUAACCGGGCGUUAAGUUGCAGGGUAUAGACCCGAAACCCGGUGAUCUAGCCAUGGGCAGGUUGAAGGUUGGGUAACACUAACUGGAGGACCGAACCGACUAAUGUUGAAAAAUUAGCGGAUGACCUGUGGCUGGGGGUGAAAGGCCAAUCAAACCGGGAGAUAGCUGGUUCUCCCCGAAAGCUAUUUAGGUAGCGCCUCGUGAAUUCAUCUCCGGGGGUAGAGCACUGUUUCGGCUAGGGGGCCAUCCCGGCUUACCAACCCGAUGCAAACUGCGAAUACCGGAGAAUGUUAUCACGGGAGACACACGGCGGGUGCUAACGUCCGUCGUGAAGAGGGAAACAACCCAGACCGCCAGCUAAGGUCCCAAAGUCAUGGUUAAGUGGGAAACGAUGUGGGAAGGCCCAGACAGCCAGGAUGUUGGCUUAGAAGCAGCCAUCAUUUAAAGAAAGCGUAAUAGCUCACUGGUCGAGUCGGCCUGCGCGGAAGAUGUAACGGGGCUAAACCAUGCACCGAAGCUGCGGCAGCGAACGUAUCACCCAAGACAACUUUACGGAGUUGACGAUUGACGGAGCGAAGCGACGUCAAAGCGUUCAUUAAAGUCGAGUUGGCUUAGGGAUACGUUCGUUGGGUAGGGGAGCGUUCUGUAAGCCUGUGAAGGUGUGUCGUGAGGCAUGCUGGAGGUAUCAGAAGUGCGAAUGCUGACAUAAGUAACGAUAAAGCGGGUGAAAAGCCCGCUCGCCGGAAGACCAAGGGUUCCUGUCCAACGUUAAUCGGGGCAGGGUGAGUCGACCCCUAAGGCGAGGCCGAAAGGCGUAGUCGAUGGGAAACGGGUUAAUAUUCCCGUACUUGGUGUUACUGCGAAGGGGGGACGGAGAAGGCUAUGUUGGCCGGGCGACGGUUGUCCCGGUUUAAGCGUGUAGGUGUGUGUUCCAGGUAAAUCCGGUUCACUUUAACACUGAGGCGUGACGACGAGGCACUACGGUGCUGAAGCAACAAAUGCCCUGCUUCCAGGAAAAGCCUCUAAGCAUCAGGUAACACGAAAUCGUACCCCAAACCGACACAGGUGGUCAGGUAGAGAAUACCAAGGCGCUUGAGAGAACUCGGGUGAAGGAACUAGGCAAAAUGGUGCCGUAACUUCGGGAGAAGGCACGCUGACACGUAGGUGAAGUGAUUUACUCAUGGAGCUGAAGUCAGUCGAAGAUACCAGCUGGCUGCAACUGUUUAUUAAAAACACAGCACUGUGCAAACACGAAAGUGGACGUAUACGGUGUGACGCCUGCCCGGUGCCGGAAGGUUAAUUGAUGGGGUCAGCGUAAGCGAAGCUCCUGAUCGAAGCCCCGGUAAACGGCGGCCGUAACUAUAACGGUCCUAAGGUAGCGAAAUUCCUUGUCGGGUAAGUUCCGACCUGCACGAAUGGCGUAAUGAUGGCCAGGCUGUCUCCACCCGAGACUCAGUGAAAUUGAACUCGCUGUGAAGAUGCAGUGUACCCGCGGCAAGACGGAAAGACCCCGUGAACCUUUACUAUAGCUUGACACUGAACAUUGAGCCUUGAUGUGUAGGAUAGGUGGGAGGCUUUGAAGUGUGGACGCCAGUCUGCAUGGAGCCGACCUUGAAAUACCACCCUUUAAUGUUUGAUGUUCUAACGUGGACCCGUAAUCCGGGUUGCGGACAGUGUCUGGUGGGUAGUUUGACUGGGGCGGUCUCCUCCUAAAGAGUAACGGAGGAGCACGAAGGUUGGCUAAUCCUGGUCGGACAUCAGGAGGUUAGUGCAAUGGCAUAAGCCAGCUUGACUGCGAGCGUGACGGCGCGAGCAGGUGCGAAAGCAGGUCAUAGUGAUCCGGUGGUUCUGAAUGGAAGGGCCAUCGCUCAACGGAUAAAAGGUACUCCGGGGAUAACAGGCUGAUACCGCCCAAGAGUUCAUAUCGACGGCGGUGUUUGGCACCUCGAUGUCGGCUCAUCACAUCCUGGGGCUGAAGUAGGUCCCAAGGGUAUGGCUGUUCGCCAUUUAAAGUGGUACGCGAGCUGGGUUUAGAACGUCGUGAGACAGUUCGGUCCCUAUCUGCCGUGGGCGCUGGAGAACUGAGGGGGGCUGCUCCUAGUACGAGAGGACCGGAGUGGACGCAUCACUGGUGUUCGGGUUGUCAUGCCAAUGGCACUGCCCGGUAGCUAAAUGCGGAAGAGAUAAGUGCUGAAAGCAUCUAAGCACGAAACUUGCCCCGAGAUGAGUUCUCCCUGAGACUUAGAGUCUCCUGAAGGAACGUUGAAGACGACGACGUUGAUAGGCCGGGUGUGUAAGCGCAGCGAUGCGUUGAGCUAACCGGUACUAAUGAACCGUGAGGCUUAACCUU
rnacentral:rRNA from 1 species